ACUUCACUGACUUUGAAAACAAAUCUCAAGUGAUCGAAUGGAGAAAUCUGGUUUAUCUCACAGCCAAAAGGUACAUUGAUAAAUAUGGGCUGGGAAGCGUUUCUCUGUGGAACUUUGAAACGUGGAAUGAACCAAACAACCACGACUUUGAUAAUGUCACUGUUUCUAUUCAAGGAUUUCUAAACUACUAUGAUGCC